rnacentral:rRNA from 1 species
GACGAACGCUGGCGGCGUGCCUAAUACAUGCAAGUAGGACGCAGUUGCGAACGGGUGAGUAACGCGUAGGUAACUACCUAUUAGAGGGGGAUAACUAUUGGAAACGAUAGCUAAUACCGCAUACUAGUAGAUGGACCUGCGUUGUAUUAGCUAGUAGGUAGGGUAAUGGCCUACCUAGGCAACGAUACAUAGCCGACCUGGGGAGGUGGUCGGCCAAACUGGGACUGGGACACUGGCCAGAAUCCUACGGGAGGCAACAGUAGGGAAACUUCGGCAAUGGGGGGAAAGCUGGCCGAACAACGCCGCGGGAGUGGAGAAGGUUUUCGGAUCGUAAAGCUCUGUUGUUAAGGGAGCGGUACUUAACCAGAAAGGGACGGCUAACUACGUGCCAGCAGCCGCGGUAAUUC